rnacentral:rRNA from 1 species
UACGUAGGGUGCAAGCGUUGUCCGGAAUUAUUGGGCGUAAAGAGCUCGUAGGCGGUCUGUUGCGUCGGCUGUGAAAACCCGGGGCUCAACCCCGGGCCUGCAGUCGAUACGGGCAGACUAGAGUGCGGUAGGGGAGACUGGAAUUCCUGGUGUAGCGGUGAAAUGCGCAGAUAUUAGGAGGAACACCGGUGGCGAAGGCGGGUCUCUGGGCCGUAACUGACGCUGAGGAGCGAAAGCGUGGGGAGCGAACAGG